rnacentral:sRNA from 1 species
AUGGGUAGACAGAGAGAUCAAUUUUGGGAUUAUGCUGAGAAUUUAAAUGCCCGUUUCAAAUGUAAUUAUUGUGGACGAAAUUUUCCCGGAGGUGCAUCAAGGAUUAAAGCACACUUGGCUGGAGUUCGAGGUCAUGACAUUGUGGCAUGUAAUGCUGUGCCUCAAGAUGUUCAAGAAAAAGCUCAAGCAACUCAAAAAAAAAGAGAAGCUCAAGUAACUCAAGGGACCAACAAAAAACUUAAAAGUGUAUCAACCUCAGCUUCAAAAUCAAAAACUAAGACGAUUAAAAUUGUCUCACAGGUGAUUCUCUAGUCCCAACUCUAUACAUAGUUGUUUAUUUCUAACAGUUCCAAUACUUUUUAGGAUAAAUAUUAGUACACACUGGUGGUUGCAUACAACCCUGCACACACUUUUUGCACUGAAAUUGUGACUUCAGAUUUCGGUGCCAAAAAUGUGUGUGCACGGUUGUGUACAACAACAGGUGUGAAAUAAAUAUUGCUCUACUUUUUUUUAACCCUUUGCAAAUAUUUUCAUACUAUUUUCUCUUUGUAGGGUAAGGAAGAAUAUAGGGCUGAAAUUUUCCUCAAUGAUGUUGUGGACAGACUAAUAGCACUUGCCACUGAGCAUAUCAAUUUUGAGUUGAGUUUCAAGGUGGACCUUCUUGAAACAUUAUUCAAGAUGAAAUUCAUGUUAGGUGAUGCUCAAAAGAGGCAAUCAAGUGAUGAGUCUAUGGGGAUAUGGUUAAAGCAUAUUAGAGAUGUAGCUUAUGAUGCCGAUAAUGUGCUAGACAAGUUUAGCUAUGAGAGUUAUUGGCAAAAGGCACAGAUUCAAAAUGAAAUGAUGGAUCAGGUAUGUAACUUUUCAUUAUGCAAUCUUGAUAAAGUUAGGUCCAUCAAACAAUUCUUGGAUAGAUAUUUGAAUGAUGUAGCUGACUCUGGUCUUAGAAUGGAGUCAAUCCCCAGUAUUAGCUUGAACAUGAAUAUAGACUCGUUCAAUGAUUCAGAAGUUGUAGGAAGAAAACAAGAUAUCAAAAAAAUAGUAAACUUACUUAUUAGCUUGAACAUGAAUACAGACUCCCUCAAUGAUUUAGAAGUUGUAGGAAGAAAACAAGAUAUAAAAAAAAUAGUAAACUUACUUACUGGUUCAAGCAAUCAACAUGUUAUCUCUGUUCUCCCUAUGGUGGGUAUGGCAGGUAUUGGAAAGACAACUUUAGCAAAAUUUGUGUAUAACAAUGAACAGAUAAAGAAACAUUUUGAUGUACUAGCAUGGGUAAAUGUCAGUAAAAAUUUUGAUGUUGAAGGGAUUUUAAGAGAGAUUCUUAAAUCUCUUGGAUUUAAAUCUCUUGAAGGAGAAGACUUGAGUAAUUUAAAUUCUGAUGAAGUACGCGAAAUAUGUGCAGAAAUUUUGUGGGCGAAAAAAUAUCUUCUCAUACUUGAUGAUGUGCAGAAUGAAGAUUUUAAGAAAUGGGAUACUUUAAAGGGUUACUUAUUAGAGUUUAAUUCCAAUAUAGGAAAUAAUAUUGUUAUUACAACCCGUAGUGAUAAUGUGGGGCAAAUCAUGAAGAUACAUCCCCCACAUCACUUAGAGAAGUUAUCAAAAGAUGACUGUUGGUCUAUAAUGAAAAAAAGAACAUUCAUAGAUGGAAGAAUUCCAUUAAAAGAUUUGGAGGUUAUUGGCAGGGAAAUUGCUAAAAGAUGUGGAGGGGUUCCAUGGGCUGCAAGAAUUUUAGGGGAAACAAUGUGCUUUCAAUUUGAUAAAAACAAAUGGCUGGAGAUUCAAAAUAAUAAAAUUUGGGAUUUGUUGGAUGAAGAUAAUAGUGACAUCUUUCCUGUGCUUAAGUUAUGCUUUGAUCAUCUUCCAACACCAUCUUUAAAACGAUGUUUCGCAUAUUGUGCAAUAUUCCCUAAAGAUUAUGACAUGAAAAAGGAUGAAGUAAUUCAGUAUUGGAUGGCUGAAGGGUUCCUACUAGCUAAAGAAGCUAAUAAUAUGGAGAUGGAAGAUAUUGGUAACAUGUAUUUCAAUAUUUUGUUGGCCACUUCCUUUUUCCAAAAUGUUAGAAAGGAUGCAUACGGUAAUAUUAUUAGCUGCAAAAUGCAUGAUUUGGUGCAUGACUUUGCGCUCUCAAUUUCAAAAUUUGAAACUCUAAUCUUGGAGGAAGAUUUAGUGGAUGAUGGUAGUAGCAUACAACAUUUAUUUGCCCGACUUGAUGGCAAAACAACACUAGGAAGUUCAUUUAGUGGAGUUGAUUUUACAAAAUUGCGCACGUUAAUUUCACAAAGUAUCAACUUUGACAUCAUGUUAUCAAAUUUUAAAUGCUUACGCGUUUUAAAAUUAUCUGGGGAUAGUAUAAAGGAGUUGCCAGAUUCAAUUGAGCAAUUAAUACAUUUGAGGCUUCUUCACAUCUCAGACUCCUUAAUUGAAGAAUUACCAAAAUCCAUCACCAAACUAUACAAUUUGCAAACUUUAAGAAUUGAAGGCCGUUUAGAAGAGCUUCCGGAAGACCUAAGCCAUUUGUUUAAUUUAAGACAUAUUCAUAUUAAUCAUAUCAGGGAUUAUGGUUACAUUAUGCAAACACCUAAAAAUAUGAGGCGGUUGACUUGCCUUCAAACAUUGCCAUUUUUUGUUGUGGAUCCAGAGGAAGGUUAUAGGAUUACAGAAUUGAGACCUUUAAGGAAUCUCAGGGGAGAAAUAAACAUAUACAAUUUAGAGAAUGUGGAAGAGGAGGAAGAAGCCAAAAGUGCAAAAUUAAAAGAAAAGGAAAUAUUCAAGUUGGGAUUAUACUGGGAUAAGGGUUCUGAUAAAGAUGAAAAGGUGUUGGAAGGCCUCCAGCCUCACCCAAAUUUGAAAAGCUUAACAAUCGAAAGGUAUUUUGGAAAGAAAUUCCCAUCAUGGGUUGGUUUGUCUUCGCUAUAUCACAAUUUGGUCGAGAUCAAUUUGAGAGAUUGUAAUGAAUGUGAAGAAGUUCCCACUCUGGGGCAAUUACCCUGUCUUAGGGUUCUUGAAAUAUACGGAAUGAAGAAGGUAAGAUGUAUUGGAAGUGAGUUUUACUUUUACAGUGAUGGGAGUUACAGAAAUACUACUACUACAUUAUUUCCGGCAUUGAGAAUACUCAAAUUGAAGCGGAUGGAAACCCUAGAAGAGUGGAAGGAGGCAGAUGAGGUGUUGUCGGUGUUUCCUUGCCUUGAGGAGUUGAUUAUUAGAUUUUGUAAUAAACUGAGAUAUUUGCCAGACUCACUGCGCACUUGCGUUUCCCUUCAGAAGUUGGAAGUAUAUUAUUGUUAUGAUCUGAGUUCAUGGCCAGGUGUCCGGUCCCUUCAGAAGUUGGUAGUAUGGAAUUGUCCUAAGCUGAGGUCAUUGCCAGGUGUCCGGUGGUCCAUAAUAAGGUGUGGUAUUGAAGACCCACCCAGUGGGUUACAGUGUAUUGAAUAUUUGGAGAAUGAGGAUUGUCGUCUGCCUUCUUCUUCUACUUCCUCCAUUCACCCCUCCCUCCAAAAGCUAAAGCUAAUACGCUGUGGGUCUCUCCUGCUGGACCAAAUUCAAUACUUCAUUGCCCUUAAAAUUCUAUGGAUAGAGGAAUCUUAUGAGAUGGUAGCUUUGCCAGAGGGGUUGGGCAAUCUUUCCUCUCUUCAACAGCUGUACAUUGUGGAUUGCUUGAACUUGGUGCAUCUGCCCACGGAGGAAGCCAUGCGACGCCUCACCCAAUUGAAAACGCUGAUCAUUUAUGAUUGCCACAAAUUUGAAGACAAUGAGCGGAUCAAGAUUAGCCACGUUCCAUGGGUUAAAAUCAAUGAUGAUGAUGAGUAAGUCUACUCAUACUGCCCUACUAUUUCCUCUUCUUUUAUUCUCUUAUAUUCGUAAUGGGCGAGAGUAUUCCGGUAUAAAUACUUAAUUGGACCCGAUUAACAAAAUAUAUAACAACUACAAUUUGGGUUAAUGGUUCUUCAAAUAAAUAGUUCAAAUUAAUCUCACUAACCCUUCUGCUUACACUUAAUAAAUCCAAUUCUUUUUUUUCUUUUUUUUUAAUGAAAUUAUUUGCAAUCAUUUGAGAUUUUUUUUUUUUUGAGAAACAAACACACACACACAAGGGAGAGAGAAAAUCUUUUAAAACAAGAGUUUAAUUAGAAAUUUUGUGAUGGCUACUAUUCAAAUUGGCUUGCCGCUAUUCAAAUUUUUGUUGCUGCAAAUUACCAAAAUAAUUAGAAGCAUAGUCUAUUUAACAAUUUUUUGAUUGUUACCUAUUGUCUUGCUACUAUCGAAUUUCUGUUUGCUAGCCUAUUUUCUUUCAACAAAUUUUUCAAUACUGAAUUUUUCUGGACAUUGGGAAAUUUGGAAUAUUGAAUCAAUCACUGUUAGAGCUGUCCACAUAAUCAUUAUUUCAAUCAGCAUUUUGAUACUGUAAGAGUUCAUGGAUCAAUUCUUUUACUUACAGCUGUCUAAAACUUGACAGUAGAUUUUAUUGAUUUGCACUGGGUCAUAACUGCUCUGUUUAUGAGGGUGGAUUUAUUGUGGAAAAUGGAGCUUAGUUGCAUAAGAAUGAGAAAUUGGGUGGGUGAAGGUCUUGCUGAUUUUUCAUUUCAUGUUUGGGUUGAUGGUUCUAAUAUAUCUAUAUAUGAUUUUUACCUUUUGAAGGUACCCACGUAGCUUAGAUUUUUGA